rnacentral:snRNA from 1 species
AGCUAGAUGCUGACAAGUGUAAG